CACGAUUUCCCCGCCCCAACAACGUCAACACCCGGAACUCUAUUGCAGCCAAUGAGCUCGAGUUGAAAAAGAAAAUAGCUUACAGCACGUGGUUUCACUCAGAUCCAUGCCAUCGCCAGGGAGACCUUUACCUGUGAUGUCUGCGGGAAGAGCUUGGCCACUAAACCAUCGCUGGUCAGCCAUCAACAGCUACACCAGUACCCCAACAUCAUUUUGUACCGGCAAGGAGAGGCCAGGCUGUACUGUACAGAGGCAGCAAGGUCUGUGGCAGAGGCCCGCAGCAGCACUGUUGUUGACCCUAAAUGGCUGGAUCUCAAGACAGCAGAGGCGGCUGCCAAGAGGUCGGGGGCUGAGCUGUGGAAAGGUCAGCUGGUCAUCACGUUCGGGUAGUACGCCGGUCAGACCUUCAGGUGGCUUGUGGAGAAUGAUGUCGGCUGGCUGGUGUGGCUGCUGUUCCAGUACUGCCAGCAGGGAGAGCAGAAGGAGCUGCUGAAGUGGCAGAAGGAGCGACUGCUCCUUCGGCCACAAGGUGACUCCUCACCUGAAAGUGCUGUCGGACGCACCGUUCCCGGAGGCUUCUGCGCUGCCAACAUCCCUCCCUCCGCCAGACCGGCCUCAGGUCCAGUACCGGCUCAUCCAUCACGAGGCUGGAAAGAGACGUGGUGAGAAGCGGAGAUUAUUUGUUGAUGAGCCACAGCCUGUGACUCCCGCGAAACGACCCGUUCAGCUCACUGGGUUGU